rnacentral:lncRNA from 10 species
CAAUCUUUAUCUCAUUUUAUCCUCACAAUAACCUUACAGGAUAGGAACUACUAAUAUUCCCAUUUUAUAGAUGAAUAAACUGAUGCUCAGAGAGUUUGGGGGAGGCCCAGAGAACAGAGCCAGGAGGCUAAUGAGGAAAACUGCAGAAGGCAGACCACAACUCCAAGGAAGAAAGGUCUUCCUCCCAGGCUGCCUGGGGAGGGAGGAAGACGCCCACUCCAGGAUGAAAGCAGAGGCUGGAUGACGAGAUAGCAGAAGUUAAAGAGGAGCUUUUGCACAGAGCUCAGGGGAGGCACUGAACUUGGCAACUUCUCAAAUCCCUUUCACCUCCAGACUCCAAGGGUCUCGACCUCAAAGCCCCAGCUGAGGAGAGACUCGCAGGAAAAGAAAGAGACUCUUGCAAACCCUCCCAAGUCAAACCGCCUGGUCGUCUCUCCUAGAGGCACAGCACAUAGCAGGUCACACCAUCAUUUGGGGAUGUAUCCCCAACACUUCCACAGCACCUCUUCAUAUGCCUGUCUACCCAGAGACUGACACACACAGACUUGUCCUGUAGGAAAUGGGAUUUUAUUAAAGGAGUCAUCUCACACUGGGUGUGGCACCUUCCUUCCACCACUCACUCCUGGGGCCUGGAGACCCACCCAUGCUGGGACACCGGGAUCUGUCACCUUUCACCUACCUGGAAUGCAGCUCAAGACAGGGUGGACCUGCCUUCCAGGUAAGCUCCAAGAGAGUGGAAACUUGGUCUAUUUUGUUCACCACUGAUUCCCAAUGUCUAAAACAGGGCCUGGCAAUAGUUACUCAAUAACUACUGAAUGAAUGAAUGAAGAGAUGAAUAAAUGAAUGAUUCAAUGCAUUUAACC